rnacentral:rRNA from 1 species
AAGGGCACCACAAGAACGCGUGGAGCAUGUGGCUUAAUUUGACUCAACACUGGAAACCUUACCGGGUCCGGACACACUGAGGAUUGACAGGCAACCCGAAGUGGGAGGAGCUUUCUUCGCAGAAUGUCUCUGAACACUUCACAUGAAAGAUGCUAGUCCUUUCAUGAUUAUGUGAUAGGUGGUGCAUGGCCGUUCUUAGUUCGUGGAGUGAUCUGUCUGCUUAAUUGCGUUCAGUGAACGGGAAAUCACAUACAUCCUUUACAAUAUAUGCUUAGUAGUUUUUCACCGAGCGAAAAGCAUUGAGUGGGUGUAUGCCCAAUACUCCCUUCUUUGCAACGAACGUGACCG